rnacentral:rRNA from 1 species
UAGUCUGCAACUCGACUACAUGAAGCUGGAAUCGCUAGUAAUCGCGGAUCAGAAUGCCGCGGUGAAUACGUUCCCGGGUCUUGUACACACCGCCCGUCACACCAUGGGAGUCGGAAAUGCCCGAAGUCUGUGACCCAACCUUAGGGAGGGAGCAGCCGAAGGCAGGUCGGAUGACUGGGGUGAAGUCGUAACAAGGUAAC